UCACUCUUGUUUCUCUACAGAUCUUUUAAAUCUUCCGCCUUUUACUAAAGAUUUCCGUGGAGGAGAACAAUAAGAGUUUUACUCAAAUUCUGAUGCCAAAGAAAUAUGGGGCA